UCAAUUUCGUUCCCAUUUACGUACACAGGCAGUAGUUUAUUUCCAGGAAAAAAAAUAAUAAUAAUUGAGGGAGAGGGAGAAUAGAAAUGAGAGAGAUCUUUCUUGAGGGGAAAUCCUUGCGGUUUCUUCUGUUGCUCUGUUCAAUUUCGUCGCAAUUCAUUUCAGGCUUUUCAGGCGAUCCAUCAGGUCCCAAAAAUGAGAAAAAGGCCGAUGAUCACGCCUCUUCCAGCAGCACAGGUUCUAGAACACUCAUAAUAUGCAUCGGGCUUAUAGCGUUUGCAGGGUUAUCGUUUUUCCUUUUCAAAAUUUGGCAAAGGAAAAGGCGUGAAGAGCAAUAUGCUCGUCUGCUAAAGUUGUUUGAAGAGGAUGAUGAGCUCGAAGUCGAACUUGGCCUUCGGGAUUGAAUCCAUUCCACGUGUUUUAUUCAAUGUAUCAUGAUGAAAGUAGCAGGUCACGUUGGGAAAUAUGCACUCCGAUGACCACAGGCAGGUUAGGGCUAUUAUUGCCCGAGGCUUUGAGGCCAUGUGAGACAUUUUCAUUUCCCAAGUAUAGCAUAUUAUUAGCGUCACGAUAUCUCAAAACGGAGGACUUGGUCUGUGAAAGUCGUUAACUAGUGGCAGAAGGAGUGUUCGUUCAUGCCAGACAGCCAAAGUUUUCACUAUCUCGUUUCAUUGUUCAUUUGUAUGUUUCCUCUGUAGUGUUUGCCAUUUUAUUUUUUAUUUUUUAUUUCUCUCUUGUGAACUAGGUUUCUGAAAGUUUAUCAGUUGAUCUUAGGAAAUGACAGACAUUUCUUACUGAUCUCGUUUGUGCUUACAGAAUUUCCAACCUUGUUUCAAGUGCACAUUUAUGAUAAUGGUGUAACUUGUAAAGAUUGGGAAUCUUUCAUUGAUGGAAGUUUUGUGUUUAUUUCCAACCUUCUUGUUUCAAGUGCACGUUUAUGAUAAUGCUGUAACUUGUAAAGAUUGGGAAUCUAUAAUUGAUGGAAGUUGUGUGUUUAUUUC